AAUGCCAAGCUGUUGCUGAAGCUGGCUUUGAACAUGAAUUCUUCCUGCCUCAGUCUCCUGAGCUGCUGAGAAUACAGGUAUGUGCUACUACACCCAGCUAUAAUCAUUGUUUUUGAUGAUAACUUUUAUAUUUAAGGAUAUCUUAUACCUCUCCAUUGAUUGUUUCCAUCUUUCAAUUUAGUUUGCGCUGAUGGCUCUUAUUUUGAAUAUAUAAAUAAUGGUUAUUAUUUUAUAAAUUCAUUAAUAUUUUUGAUUUUCACUAAUAUAGGUAUAUUUUCAAAUGUAAUUUAUUAUUGGAUUCUGCUUCAUAUCAUGUUAAUGAUUGGAAAAAUUUAACUUCUAUAUGAGCACAUAUAAUAGUUAAUGUGAAUUGUUGACUUGAUUGGAUUAAGACAUGCCUUCUGAGCGUCUCUAAGAGGAUGUUUCUUGGAAUAACUGGUAUGUGGGACAGCAAACUGAAGUGAAUGGAGAGCCACCCUAAGUGUGGACAGCACAGUCCAAUAAGUUGAAGGUUUAGAUGGGACAAAGGUUGGAAGAACAAGCAGUAGAUGCAAACUUAAUUGUUCUUCAGCAGAUUCUUUUAUUGCAGCUGUGAUCACCUGAGAACACAUGACUCCAACUCCCUCACUCUAUCAAAGGAAACUCAGACCAGUGGCUCUCCAGAGAAUUUCCAUGCCUUGUUACCAGACAGGAGUGGCCAUCAAUAACCCUUCUUGUUCUGAGGCUCCAGCUUCUUGGACUGAGCAGGUAGUGGUUCCUCCACCUCUCUAAUCUGCAGGCAGCCAUUGUGGGACAAUCCAAUUUCUGGUUCUUUUCCUCUAGAGACCCUGAAUACAGAACAUUACUUAAUUCACAUGAAUAUUCUAAUAACAUUUCUAUGUACCUUUUUCAGUUUUCUAUUUUAAAAUUAUACUGAUAAAAUCUGCAAGUAAUAAUGUAUCUAUGUAAUCUUUUACAACAAGGACAUCUAACAUAACGGUUUUUACUGUCACUUGGUUGAUUAGAAAUUUCAAAUAUUAAAUAGGAAUAAUGAAAAUAAUGAGGAGCUUUUAGUUCUUCCUAGUAUUAAAGAAAAAGUCCCUAAAAUUUCAGAAUGCUGUUGACUCUCAUUUUGUCACAGAUCUUACAUGUUUUAGUAGGACAUUCCCUGUCCUUUCCCUUUGCUCAGUGAGAAAGUGCAUAAAUGCCUUUUCAGAUUCUUCCAUAGAUGCCAUAUCUAUAGCUGUAUAAGGUCAUAUGGGAAUAUUAGAACAAUACUAAACACUCAAAAAACUUUUUUCUUUAAUUUCUAGGCUAAGUCCCAAGUGUUAAUAGUAUACGCUUAUUAUUAAUUCAGAAUUAGAUUUCAUUUUUUAUUUUGGACUUUUGUAACUAUGCUAAUGAAGGGUGUCUUGUUUUUUUAAAAUUUUCUUAAGAAGUAUUUUCAAUCUUUUAAAAAUGAGUUAAUGAGUCCCUUCCAAAAGUCCCAAAGCAGAUUCGAAGUCUUUACCUUGCUUAGAGCGUUGGCAGCUGCUCUGCACCUGUUCUUCAUUUGGGUUACAUGGUGCCAUUUUGGCCAACUUUGCUCUCUCCUGAUUGCCAGCUCUGUCUCCUGGUAGCUCAUCUUCCUGUCGUUCCCUCCACACAGGAAUGCCACUGAGCUCACGCCCCAGAACUUGGUGUCUAUCCCCACUCUGCGUUAACUCACCUUGACUUUGGAUUCCUGUCUGAAAGCUUUCAAAUCACAGAACUUCCCUGUCUUUGUACUUUACCUCUCUUCUUGGAUAUCUAACAGAAACCUCCAACAGCGCAGAACCCAAAGUUCGAAACUCCCUGCUCAAAUACUGUUGGGCCCCAGGUGACAGCAGGUAACACUUGGUUGGUGAUAAUCCAAUUCUUUUUAUUUUUAAGCUUUUUUGAGUAUAACUGAUAUACAAAACAUUGCAUAUAUUUAAUGUAUUUAUUUUGAUGGAUUUGGACAUCUGCAUAUACCAUCACCACAAUCAAGGUAAUAAGCAGAUUGAUCAUCUCAAAAAUUUUCCUUUUGGGCUGGGGUUGGGGCUCGGUGGUAGAGCACUCACCCAGCAAGUGCGAGGCCCUGGGUUCAAUCCUCAGCAUCACAUAUAAAUAAAUAAAUAAAAUAAAGGUAUUGUGUCCAACUGCAACAAAAAAUAAAUAUUUAAUUUUUUCCUUUUGUUCCUGUGUGUGUGUGUGCAUGUGUGUGUGUUGGUGGUAAGAACACUUCAAAUGAGAUCAGACCUCUUAACAUAUUUAAGGUUCACACUGCCGUAUUGUUAACUAUAUGUACUAUGUGGUACAGCAGAUCCAGCCCUUGGAAAUCAUCAGCCUAUUCUCUGCUUCUGUGUCCUCUCCAUAGAUAGCAGUGUGACACCUUCCUUUCCACCUUAUAUUCAAGUCAACCAUCAGGAGGUUCAUAUUGUUCUAAAUUAAAAUUGUAUUCAGAACAUUUUGUCAUCAAAUUUCAGUGAUACCCUUGGCUUGAGUUGAAAUGAUUUUUAGCCUGAAUGUCGCUUUUCAUUUGACUCAGUAAAAGCCCAAGUCCUCACCACCCACGCUCUCUCUGCCCACCCCAACUCGGUCUCCUCUGAGAGCAUCUGCUAAGCACUCUCAUCUCACUCUGCUGCCCCUAUACUGACCUCUUUUCUGUCAUUGCUGCCACCGGAUUCUCCUGUCCUGUGUCCUCUCCAGAAAUACCUUUCCUCUAAAUAGCAGGAUGAUCUCAGCCCUGGUAUCCUUCCUUUCACUAAUCAAACAACACUUGGCCAGCCUACCUUUUGCUUUUACCUUUAUUUUUAUUGUUUUAUUGACAGAGAGUCAUUUUAAACCUUUAUGGGUGACAGUGUGUUGUUAUCCAACAAAUCCUACCUUGCUCACUUCCUUGUGAUAAGAACAUCCAAAAUCCUCUCCAAAACCACUUGUUUCUCCUUACUCCAGCACCUCUACCUCCUUUUAUCUUUCUUCAAUGCAUUAGAUUUUUAUUCCACAACACAAUUUAUUUAAUGAUGUGCAUUGUCUUCAGAUGAACUCUAGCACAAUGCAAACUUCAAAAGGUGGUACUUUAAGUGUCUGACACAAAGUAACUAACUAAUGUUCUAUUUUAAGAAAAGGGUGGGCACUUAUUAUGAACGGUAUCCUAUAAAAUUGUCUGACAAACCUUACAAGAAAUAUUUUUUCUUCAUUUUACUGAACCAAGUUAUUUGCAAAUUUAUUGAAUCCCAGAAAUAGGUUGGGAAAUUAUUUUCUGACCUUAUUAUUGUAACUGCACCCUAUAGAUAUUUAUGACUCUCCAAAAGAUAGCGAUGUUAUCAUCACAGGUACUUUAGACUACUUGAGGAUUUACAAACCCUUGAGGAGAAAGAUUUGUGAGAGGGUAUUAGAAUUUGUUGGUGUCAGAUCAACCCCUGUGCGUGCUUUCCUCCAUCAGUGCCCCUUUCCCUGACCAGGGCCCACUUCCCCCAUAAGCGAGGCCCCCUGAAGGUAGGUGGUCCUCAUCCCCUGACCACAGGCUGAGGUGCUAUUCUGAGCCUUACUUUCUUUUUUGCUUCCCAGAUCCCAGUGGGAUUCCACCUCUGCUCUGGGUGCCUUUCCACUUCAUCACCUCCAUCUCCGCAUCUCACCCAGCAAUGCCUUCCCUUGGCCCCAAACGACCUGCCUGUCUCAACACCUCGUCUGUUCAUCUGCUUGAGAAAGGAAUUCCUACUAAGGCAAAUUGGACUAUGUUUGGAACCAGAAACUGCUGGGAAACAUGGAGAAAGGGCGUCUCAUGGUUGAGGACACUCUUAACCUUGUCAGUGUAUGUUCUGUUUGUCAUUAAUGGCUUUCCCUUCUCACAUGUAUUCUCUACACUCUCCUUUUCUCCUCUCUCCCUCUCUGUAUAGAGACAUUUAACAGUGCCAGUGCCACCCCAUUGCUGAAAAGAAUAUAGAAAGUACUUUCCAGGGGACUUAGUUUUUCUUUUCUUCUUGAACUGAGUAUUUUAUUUGAAAGAGCUAUUAUUGACAUUUACACAGUUUCUAAUUUUGAGGAGUGACCAGGUGAACAACAGGGAUUGACUGUAUAUAAAGACAGUAGCAGCAUCCUGCUUUGCUAUGUUUUCACAGGGAGGAAAUAGGUGUAGGGACAGGUGAGUUAUUUUUUGAUGACUACAAUGUUUGUCACAAGCCAAACAGUAAUUCUUGUUCAUCCAUGUAGCUGUAAGCUACACUGAUUAUAAUGUGCUAUUUGUGAGAUAUUAUAGACUAGGAGAAACACAACAAGAAUUUCUGUUUAGAUUUUGAGAAAGAGUAAAGGAGUCUUUGGUCAAAGUAUGUGACAGUAUCACAUGCAGUCUUAUAUAACCAUUAUCCUUGCAAACAAUUGUUCACAGUUGAUUUUUAUAUCACCUAUAUUUAUUAGGGUUGCACUAUUAUUUUAAGAACAGAUAAAUGUCACAAGAUACAGGUAACUUACACAAGUAAAUAUCAACUCUACAACUUCAAUUUUAUCUUGAAAAAUAAUAAAUGAUCAUUUUGCAGGGAAAGACUGGCCACGUGAAUGUCUUCCUGCAUUAAACAUUUUAAUUAAAUUUCCUGUGUAUUGUGGUGUUCUGACAUCUUACAAACCCUCUCUGGGUAGGGGAGAAACUGACAUCCCUUGCAGGACAAUUCCUAAUAGGCAACAAAGGGGCCCAGGCAGGGAAAUGUUUUUGAUUUGCAAACUCAACUGAGCCAGACCUCCUGGGUGUGACCUGUGCACCUAGGCCAGCAAAGUCUGCCUAAGCAGGGCCAGUCCAGGAGCUGGGCCGCCAGAGACCUCUGCAUAGUUUAGAGCCCAUGGAGAUGAUCCAAGCCAGCCGAUCCUCUCCUCAGGGGUUCUCCUGGCCCUAACCUGCCUCUCACUUGGAAACCACAAUAGAGCCUGCUUCCUGGACUCUUCCUCACUCUUGUCUCCGCCUGCUUCCUGGACUGGCAUCCU
rnacentral:lncRNA from 1 species